ensembl:lncRNA
GUGGGGGCUUAAAAGAACCUAAUUUCUGCACCUAAUAGGUAAAUGCACAAACAAUUGCUCUUCAAAGGUUAUUGUGUUUCUUGUGUCUUCUCUGCUUCUGGUCACAGCCGUUGGCAAAGUUCUUGUCUUCCGUGUUCCUUUUUCUCCAUUUCUAGUGAUUCUGUAGUUUGUAGCUUAGAUUGUUUCUCCACCAGUUCCUAACAUGCAGCUAGAUGAAGCAUUCCAGUUCCCUUGGCAGUCUAAUUACUGACCUUGUGUUCAUGUUGCAACUCAUUCAUAAAAUGCUUUAGAUAUAUUACAGACAUUUUUGGUCCACGUUCUUAGCUGGUGUCAAAUGAAGUACUAAGGAGAUUAAAAAUAAAAAUGUGAUAUGUCCUUGGCAAUAUUAUUUACUUGUGUGAAAAGGAAAGGACACCGAGUAAGCCUUCAGCAGAAUGAAUGAGAAUAUAUUAAUAUUAAUCCUGAAAUGGUUAUUGUCUUAGACUUUUCUAGCAUGCAGAUCUGAAUUCAUGAAUUAAUACUUGGGAUGUUCUGAAGACUUGAUACACAGUCCUUCCAGUGGCACAUAAGACAACUGACGACAGCAGCAGCACAGUUGGGCAUGAAGGUUUUAUGCCUAUGUCUGUUCAGAAAUGCCCUUUCAGUUAUGUACUCCCAUAAACUGAAUCAGCAUAUAAAUCUGCACGCUAUGCAAUAGAUGUAUAUGUAGCGGAGGCGCUGGGAUCCAACUCAGGAUAAUGGUGAGUCGAAUUCAGUCACGUCAGAUGUUGGACUUGGGAAAGCGCCUAUUAAGGACGGCAGUGCCAGCUGGGGAAGGUCUUGCAUCUGGCUAUGUGCUCCUGUCACCAAAGCCACUCCUAAGGCUGCACCAGGGCAGCAGUUUGCAGGGUGAUUGAAUGAACCACAUAUAGCACUGGGGAGAAAUGGAAAUCUUUUUUAAGGUCACCAGUAAUAUCACAGAGACAACACCCAGGCUGUGUGAAGACUCAUGAUUUCUGAUGAUGAUAAUAUCCCAAUGGUGGUCGGAAACAUCUAUUUGGUGUGGAUGAUGAUAACUUAUGUUCUAAUGAGUCUAGUCACUCUCAGUGCUUGUCAUUGCCCAUUUGGGGUGGAAUUCUGCUCUGUAUUGCACUAGAAAUCUUUAAAAUUCUGUCUGAAUAUUUCGGUCUGUUUUCUAUCUAUUUUCUUCACUAUUCACUUAAGAAAAAAAAGUCAUCAUUAGAAAGAACCUUUUUUUUUUUGGCAUUUCUUGCUCGCAUGCAAUUUCUUUUUCGCAUGCAUUUCUUGUUUGCACACAAUAGAUGGAGAACUUCAUGGAUAACUGCU